CAGCUUUGCCGCGGCUCCCGGUACUAUGAGUCCACCACUCCGGGUGGGAGAGCGAGCAAAAGAUUUGAACCUGAUCAUGCACAAAUCAAGCUGCCAGUGAGUCAAAAAACACCGCAACUGGGAGAGAGCAAUGAAGACUAAGAGGCACGGAAGAGGGACUGUAUUUUCUGGGAAAUCCAAUGAUUGCUCUUUAACUGACUGCAAUUCUGCCUUUGCUUUUAAGUUGAUGUAUAAAGUACAGUGUGCAGCUCAUCCAGCAACAGAAUCUUUUUAACUUCUUUCUCUUAAAGUUUCA